CACGUAGGGGGCGAGCGUUGUCCGGAUUCAUUGGGCGUAAAGCGCGCGCAGGCGGCUUGGCAAGUCGGGUGUGAAAACUCGGGGCUCAACCCCGGGCGUGCAUCCGAUACUGCCAGGCUAGAGUUCGGUAGGGGAGACUGGAAUUCCUGGUGUAGCGGUGAAAUGCGCAGAUAUCAGGAGGAACACCGAUGGCGAAGGCAGGUCUCUGGGCCGAUACUGACGCUGAGGAGCGAAAGCGUGGGGAGCGAACAGG
rnacentral:rRNA from 1 species